rnacentral:pre_miRNA from 1 species
AAACAGCCCCCUAUGUUUUGAUUCUUUGAUAAUUUUGGACCCCCAAGGCAAAUUUAUUUUUUUUGACAUGUGACACCUCACUUAGGGUGCCACGUCAGCGUUGACCGAGUCAACAAUGGACCGGGGAUCCAAAACUGCCAAAGAAUCAAAACAUAGAAGGUUGUUU